GACGUGGAUCGUGAUGAUGGACGCUACCCACCCAGGCCCCGGCCCAGGCCACCUGCAGGAGGAGGUGGCGGAGGUGGCGGAGGCUAUCCCAAUUAUGACAGCUCCGGCAGCACGUAUGGAAGAGGGGGCGGCUCUCGACCCAACCCUCCUUACAGACAAACUUAUGGUGGAGACGAACAUUCAACUUACGGCAACCCACAAGGGAACACGGUAGCAAAAAUCGUAUCCCCUAUCGUGUCUGUGGUGGUGGUGACCUUGGUGGGGGCGGCGGCCACCUAUUUAAACAAGAGGAGAAAUUGCUUCCGGAACAGUGAGCCAGUGAAUGUCUGAAGAAUUCCAAGUUCUUUGAUCACUUCGAGAAAAACUGAAUCAAGACAAGAACCCUGUGUAUUCUUGGUAUCAUCUGCUGACCUAAAGCGUGUUCUGUUGUGUGUUUACUAUGGCCGCGGCCUCCCAAGGAAUCCCCAGUUUGUUGCAGGUGGUGUGGUGAAAAGAUUGCUGAAUCUAUUGUUUCUGUGACACCUGUGCAUCAAGAAGGUCCAGCCCUCUGUUCUGAGAUCUUCAACUACCUCAUGGUGCCAAAACACACUCAGGUGUAUUGCAAAGCAUGAUGGCAACAGGUGGGAGAAGGAUGUUGUCGGAUUCUGGGAGAUGACGACUUUUGAGAUUUUGGGAAGAUGUCGUCAGAGGCUUGCCCUGCACUACAUUUCUAAGAGAUGUCAGAAAUCAUUCAGCAUGGAAGUCAAAAGCUAUCGAGUGUUCAACAUUGUGAAUGAAGUGAGAAUGAAUUAUACCCAAUGCUCAGAACAGGGUAUGAUUGUCUAUUCAACUUUGGUGUCUCUGCACAAAAAAAUUAUUACCCACAGAAAAGCAGCCCAGAUUUUAAAAUUUUUAGCAUGAAAUUAUGAAUAUUAAAAUCAUCCAGGGGAAAUCAGUCUCGGGCUACUUUCUCCUAGGAAAUUAUAUUUUUAAUAUGUUUUAGAGAAUAGGACACAGAAAUGGUGAGUUUUCAGAUGUUGACCCUGUCACAGUAAUUUUACUCUUUGAUAUUCUUUAGGUACCGGUUCCUACAGCAACAGCUUUCCUUUACUGAAUUUAUGCUUUUUCUACUCUCCAAAGUAGAAAAUCUUAAAUCCUUAGACAUCUAAAAAGUAUAUUAGCUACUUGCUUCUGUUUUAGAAAUACUUCUAGGGAGGGAAAGGGAUGCUUUGGUCAUAUUGGUAUAACUUGAUUAAACUAAGGUUAAUGUUCAUAUAACUUUUAGACUUUGGCUUAAAUAUCUGAACCAAAGACGAAGAUAUUCAUUGCAAUCUGGAUCUUCUAUAAAGAACCCAUAAAAAUCCUAAAUAUGCAUGGUUUGUGCUCACAUUUAUAAACUGGAGUCUCCAAACAGAGAAAUUGAAAUUAGAAAACAUUUGAAAGAGCAACACAUUUGAAAAAAAAA